AUUUGAAUCUAUUUAGAUUUUUAUUUUUAAUGUAAUGGAGAAAUUCAACUGAGAUACGUAUUUGAAGUUAUUGUUACCUACAGAUGAAGACAAUCAACAAAGAAUCAAUCAAGGUUCAAUAUGUCCAACGGAUACAUACUCUAUGUGUAAGCAGUGCGGCAGAUAUAUACCCAGAUUUGCAAGUAGUAUAGCAGAUAUGUACUCAGAUUUGUAAGCAGUUUAGCAGAUAUGUACUCAAAUUUGUAAGCAGUAUGGCAGAUAUGUACUCAAAUUUGUAAACAGUGUAGCAGAUAUGUACUCAAAUUUGUGGUCUUUUA